CCUACGGGGGACAGCAGUGGGGAAUAUUGCACAAUGGGCGAAAGCCUGAUGCAGCAACGCCGCGUGAAGGAAGACGGGUUUCGGCUCGUAAACUUCUAUCAACAGGGACGAAAGAAAUGACGGUACCUGAAUAAGAAGCCCCGGCUAACUACGUGCCAGCAGCCGCGGUAAGACGUAGGGGGCAAGCGUUAUCCGGAAUUACUGGGUGUAAAGGGUGAGUAGGCGGCAUGGUAAGCCAGAUGUGAAAGCCUUGGGCUUAACCCGAGGAUUGCAUUUGGAACUAUCGAGCUAGAGUACAGGAGAGGAAAGCGGAAUUCCUAGUGUAGCGGUGAAAUGCGUAGAUAUUAGGAAGAACACCAGUGGCGAAGGCGGCUUUCUGGACUGAAACUGACGUUGAUGCUCGAAAGUGUGGGUAUCAAACAGGAUUAGAUACCCGGGUAGUC
rnacentral:rRNA from 1 species